GCUGACGAGUGGCGGACGGGUGAGUAAUGUCUGGGAAACUGCCUGAUGGAGGGGGAUAACUACUGGAAACGGUAGCUAAUACCGCAUAACGUCGCAAGACCAAAGAGGGGGACCUUCGGGCCUCUUGCCAUCGGAUGUGCCCAGAUGGGAUUAGCUUGUUGGUGGGGUAACGGCUCACCAAGGCGACGAUCCCUAGCUGGUCUGAGAGGAUGACCAGCCACACUGGAACUGAGACACGGUCCAGACUCCUACGGGAGGCAGCAGUGGGGAAUAUUGCACAAUGGGCGCAAGCCUGAUGCAGCCAUGCCGCGUGUAUGAAGAAGGCCUUCGGGUUGUAAAGUACUUUCAGCGGGGAGGAAGGGAGUAAAGUUAAUACCUUUGCUCAUUGACGUUACCCGCAGAAGAAGCACCGGCUAACUCCGUGCCAGCAGCCGCGGUAAUACGGAGGGUGCAAGCGUUAAUCGGAAUUACUGGGCGUAAAGCGCACGCAGGCGGUUUGUUAAGUCAGAUGUGAAAUCCCCGGGCUCAACCUGGGAACUGCAUCUGAUACUGGCAAGCUUGAGUCUCGUAGAGGGGGGUAGAAUUCCAGGUGUAGCGGUGAAAUGCGUAGAGAUCUGGAGGAAUACCGGUGGCGAAGGCGGCCCCCUGGACGAAGACUGACGCUCAGGUGCGAAAGCGUGGGGAGCAAACAGGAUUAGAUACCCUGGUAGUCCACGCCGUAAACGAUGUCGACUUGGAGGUUGUGCCCUUGAGGCGUGGCUUCCGGAGCUAACGCGUUAAGUCGACCGCCUGGGGAGUACGGCCGCAAGGUUAAAACUCAAAUGAAUUGACGGGGGCCCGCACAAGCGGUGGAGCAUGUGGUUUAAUUCGAUGCAACGCGAAGAACCUUACCUGGUCUUGACAUCCACGGAAGUUUUCAGAGAUGAGAAUGUGCCUUCGGGAACCGUGAGACAGGUGCUGCAUGGCUGUCGUCAGCUCGUGUUGUGAAAUGUUGGGUUAAGUCCCGCAACGAGCGCAACCCUUAUCCUUUGUUGCCAGCGGUCCGGCCGGGAACUCAAAGGAGACUGCCAGUGAUAAACUGGAGGAAGGUGGGGAUGACGUCAAGUCAUCAUGGCCCUUACGACCAGGGCUACACACGUGCUACAAUGGCGCAUACAAAGAGAAGCGACCUCGCGAGAGCAAGCGGACCUCAUAAAGUGCGUCGUAGUCCGGAUUGGAGUCUGCAACUCGACUCCAUGAAGUCGGAAUCGCUAGUAAUCGUGGAUCAGAAUGCCACGGUGAAUACGUUCCCGGGCCUUGUACACACCGCCCGUCACACCAUGGGAGUGGGUUGCAAAAGAAGUAGGUAGCUUAACCUUCGGGAGGGCGCUUACCACUUUGUGAUUCAUGACUGGGGUGAAGUCGUAACAAGGUAACCGUAGGGGAACCUGCGGUUGGAUCACCUCCUUACCUUAAAGAA
rnacentral:rRNA from 2 species